rnacentral:rRNA from 1 species
GAUGAACGCUGGCGGCGUGCCUAAUACAUGCAAGUCGAGCGAACAGAUGAGGAGCUUGCUCCUCUGACGUUAUCGGCGGACGGGUGAGUAACACGUGGAUAACCUACCUAUAAGACUGGGAUAACUUCGGGAAACCGGAGCUAAUACCGGAUAAUAUAUUGAACCGCAUGGUUCAAUAGUGAAAGACGGUUUUGCUUUCACUUAUAGAUGGAUCCGCGCCGCAUUAGUUAGUUGGUAAGGUAACGGCUUACCAAGGCAACGAUGCGUAGCCGACCUGAGAGGGUGGACGGCCACACGGGAACUGAGACACGGUCCAGACUCCUACGGUAGGCAGCAGUAGGGAAUCUUCCGCGAUGGGCGAAAGCCUAACGGAGCAACGCCGCGUGAGUGAUGAAGGUCUUCUGAUCGUAAAACUCUGUUAUUAGGAAAGAACAAAUGUGUAAGUAACUAUGCACGUCUUGACGGUACCUAAUCAGAAAGCUACGGCUAACUACGUG